GACGAACGCUGGCGGCGCGCCUAACACAUGCAAGUCGAACGAGCGAGAGAGAGCUUGCUUUCUCGAGCGAGUGGCGAACGGGUGAGUAACGCGUGAGGAACCUGCCUCAAAGAGGGGGACAACAGUUGGAAACGACUGCUAAUACCGCAUAAGCCCACAGGUCGGCAUCGACCAGAGGGAAAGGGAGCAAUCCGCUUUGAGAUGGCCUCGCGUCCGAUUAGCUAGUUGGUGAGGUAACGGCCCACCAAGGCGACGAUCGGUAGCCGGACUGAGAGGUUGAACGGCCACAUUGGGACUGAGACACGGCCCAGACUCCUACGGGAGGCAGCAGUGGGGAAUAUUGCACAAUGGGGGAAACCCUGAUGCAGCGACGCCGCGUGGAGGAAGAAGGUCUUCGGAUUGUAAACUCCUGUUGUUGAGGAAGAUAAUGACGGUACUCAACAAGGAAGUGACGGCUAA
rnacentral:rRNA from 1 species